rnacentral:ncRNA from 1 species
GAGAGCCGUAUGAUGGGAAACUAUCACGUACGGUUCGGGAAAGGGAAACCGAUAUCCUUAAAAAGGAUACUGUUUUCUAGUUCAU